GUCCUGCCUGCGGCAGCUGCGCUUUACCAGCUUGCUGCCCGCUACAGCCGAGGAGCGCUGAUUGAGUGGCCACCACAGAGCAGAGCAGAGCAGGACUGUUCUGGGUCGCGCUAGCACGGGCGAGGAGGGUUUUGCCUUUUGGAAAUUUAUGAUAUGUUCCUAGUCUGAAUUGCUCUGCAAGUUGCAGGUACUGAAAGGCUGCAAUGUCACCUCAGAGCCUACUCCAGGCUGAACAGUCUCAACUCUUUUAGCCUGUCCUCACAGGAGAGAUGCUCCAGCUCUCUGAUCAUCUUCAUGGCCUUCCUCUGAACCUGGACUAAAAAGCAGCCCCUCCGCCUGUAACUACAGGAAGCACAGAGAAACACAAGUAUUGCUGUGAUGUUCAGAGGGAGACUCAGCACAAGCACGAAGGUGUAAACUGAAGGAACAAAACGGGUCAGCCAUGGACUAGUGAGGUUGUCAUCCAGUCCUUUUGGAAGAAGUUAAACUGGUGGAUUUCUGGUUUUAUGAAUAAUAGUACUCUCACUGCUGAUACGACAGUUAACAGCUCUGUCAAAAUACCUGCAAAAUUUAAGAAGGCAUGAAAGAAGAGGACUAAUAAACUAUGGACAAAGAAAUAGCAGGAUGAAGCACGAAGGUUUUAUCCUAGUGCUGUGUAGUAAGGACACUGAAUGAUACACAUAUAGUGUUUUUCUUUGCUUCCAAUAAGGAUUUCAAAAGCCAAAAAUUACAUAGAAUGAGUACAAUACUCAAACUGCCUGAAGUUUUCCUUUACUGACUGGUUUUUGCACCAGUUCUCUAAUGAGGACAUAGAGAAACGAUGUAGAAAGCUCAGUAAGUUUGGGAUUGUCUAAUUUAUACUGUGCUGUUUUCCAUCAAGUACUACAAACUGUUUGUCUCACAAUCAGCAUAAUCAUAUUCUGCUUACUCUGCAUUUUUUUAUACUUUAUACUUACUGCUAUUUUUUUUAAUAGAGAGCUAUUUUAGAAUUUCUUUUCAUGCCUGUGUUCAUAUGCAAGGGGCAUACUGUUCUGUGAGACGAGAAUUAGAGAGCAAAAAAUUCAACAGCCUCAGCCAAUCUUAAAAAGCACUCUUGAGCUCAAGAAGAAAAUUUAAAAAUAUUUCUGUAGACCCAGAAAUCUGCACAGGACGUUACAGAACAGCAGCCCUCAUAUCCCAAGGGAUAUCUUUGUGAUGUGGGAGACUAAAGAAUAGGCUCCUAGAGAAGCAAUUAAAUAUGUUCCCUAUGUGCUCCUUGACAAUUAAUACUAAUUUCUGGGCAUUACUGGUGACAGCUGCACCCACACCGCUGGUGCUGGCUUAUUACAAAAACUCGGUUUCUCUUAUCACCUCUUUGUAUAAUCUGAAUUGAUAAGCAUCUAGAAUGUAAAUUUCUCAGUGGCCCAUAAAUGAGGUACUUGAAGGCAAACUGUGAAGUGCAUGCCAGAUGUGUUAAUAAACAAGGUAAGACACAACCUUGUAGCAGGGAUGACAGUUACUUGCUUUUAUAAAAAUAAACAUUGAAUUGUCUUUAAGAAAAUCUUCAACAGUCCACAUCUCCAUUUAUACAGAAUUUUUUUAAUGUAUUAUAGGCUAAUUAGUAACC